rnacentral:rRNA from 1 species
UACAGAGGUCUCAAGCGUUGUUCGGAUUCAUUGGGCGUAAAGGGUGCGUAGGUGGCGCUGUAAGUCGGGUGUGAAAUCUCGGAGCUUAACUCCGAAACUGCAUUCGAUACUGCCGUGCUUGAGGACUGGAGAGGAGACUGGAAUUUACGGUGUAGCGGUGAAAUGCGUAGAUAUCGUAAGGAAGACCAGUGGCGAAGGCGGGUCUCGUGGACAGUUCCUGACGCUGAGGCACGAAGGCCAGGGGAGCAAACGGG